CUCCUACGGGAGGCAGCAGUGGGGAAUUUUGCACAAUGGGGGAAACCCUGAUGCAGCGACGCCGCGUGAUUUAGAAGGCCUUCGGGUUGUAAAAAUCUUUUGUAUAGGAAGAAAAUGACAGUACUAUACGAAUAAGGUCCGGCUAAUUACGCGCCAGCAGCCGCGGUAAUACGUAAGGACCGAGCGUUGUCCGGAAUCAUUGGGCGUAAAGGGUACGUAGGCGGCUAGAAAAGUUAGAAGUCAAAGGCUAUAGCUCAACUAUAGUAAGCUUCUAAAACUAUUUAGCUUGAGAAAUGGAAGGGAAAGUGGAAUUCCUAGUGUAGCGGUGGAAUGCGCAGAUAUUAGGAAGAAUACCGGUGGCGAAGGCGACUUUCUGGCCAUUAUCUGACGCUGAGGUACGAAAGCGUGGGUAGCAAACAGGAUUAGAUACCCUGGUAGUCCACGCCGUAAACGAUGAGUGUUAGGUGUCUGGAGUCAAAUCUGGGUGCCGCAGCAAACGCAUUAAACACUCCGCCUGGGGAGUACGCACGCAAGUGUGAAACUCAAAGGAAUUGACGGGGACCCGCACAAGCAGCGGAGCAUGUGGUUUAAUUCGACGCAACGCGAAGAACCUUACCAAGUCUUGACAUAUUACAGAAGCGGUUAGAGAUAAUUGCUUACACCUUCAGAUGACUGUAAUACAGGUGGUGCAUGGUUGUCGUCAGCUCGUGUCGUGAGAUGUUGGGUUAAGUCCCAUAACGAGCGCAACCCCUAUUGCUAGUUACCAUCAUUAAGUUGGGGACUCUAGUAAUACUGCCGGUGACAAACCGGAGGAAGGUGGGGAUGACGUCAAAUCAUCAUGCCCUUUAUGACUUGGGCUACACACGUGUUACAAUGGCAGGUACACAGGGUUGCAAGACUGCGAAGUUAAGCGAAACUCAAAAAGCCUGCCCCAGUUCGGAUUGCACUCUGCAACUCGAGUGCAUGAAGUUGGAGUUGCUAGUAAUCGUGGAUCAGAAUGCCGCGGUGAAUGCGUUCCCGGGUCUUGCACACACCGCCCGU
rnacentral:rRNA from 1 species